UACGUAGGGGGCAAGCGUUGUCCGGAAUCAUUGGGCGUAAAGAGCGUGUAGGUGGCUCGGUAAGUCCGCUGUGAAAGUCCAGGGCUCAACCCUGGAAUGCCGGUGGAAACUGUCGAGCUAGAGUCCGGAAGAGGCGAGUGGAAUUCCUGGUGUAGCGGUGAAAUGCGCAGAUAUCAGGAGGAACACCAAUGGCGAAGGCAGCUCGCUGGGACGGUACUGACACUGAGACGCGAAAGCGUGGGGAGCAAACAGG
rnacentral:rRNA from 1 species